UACGGAGGGGGCUAGCGUUAUUCGGAAUUACUGGGUUUAAAGGGUGCGUAGGCGGCUUAAUAAGUCAGAGGUGAAAGGCUGUGGCUCAACCAUGGGAUUGCCUUUGAUACUGUUAGGCUCGAAUCAGGCUGAGGUUGGUAGAAUGUGGCAUGUAGAGGUGAAAUGCAUAGAUAUGCCAUAGAAUACCGAUUGCGAAGGUAGCUGACUGGCCCUUUACUGACGCUGAGGCACGAAAGCGUGGGGAGCGAACAGG
rnacentral:rRNA from 1 species